CAACGCCGCGUGGAGGAUGAAAUCCCUUGGGAUGUAAACUCCUUUCGAUCGGGACGAUUAUGACGGUACCGGAAGAAGAAGCCCCGGCUAACUUCGUGC
rnacentral:rRNA from 1 species